rnacentral:rRNA from 1 species
AUGAGCCAGCAAAUCCCGUCAGCAGAUGUUGGUGGCUCAAGCACUGCCUCAGUAGCAGCACCUUCACUCCCUCAAGUUGUUGAUUCGGAUGACCCUGCGUGGAAAUAUUGCACUCUUCCAGAUGUGAACAAGAAGCAUUGGCAGCGAUGCAACUAUUGUGGCAAGAUAUGCACAGCUGGCAUUACAAGGAUGAAGUUUCACAUUUCACAAAUAACGAAUUGUGGUGUCUUACCAUGCAAGAAGGUUCCUAGUGAUGUCAGGCUGGAGAUGAUAGCUUUGCUUCUGAAGAGUGCUGAGCUGAAGGAAAAAAAGGUCGAGGGAUUGGAGGCGCUCAGAUCUAGUGUUGACUUAGAUCACUCCGAUGGAGAACAAGAAACUGAUGAAGAAGAUGGCAAUCAUGUUGUGAUUUUGAGGUCAAAACCAGGCACAAGCAGCUCAAUGGGUGGCCCUAUGGACAAAUUCUGCAAGCCUGGUAUAGAAGAAACUGUCAAGAGGAAGCAAAAAAGAAAUUGUGAAUCCGAAAAGGUUCAGUCGAAGGUGUCAACUCAGCAAAGACAACAGAGGAGGGAUAGAGCUUGUGGAUAUAUAUGUCAAUUUUUCUAUGAAGCUAGCAUCCCACAUAACACUGUCACACUUCCUAGCUUUGCAUGUAUGCUUCAGGCCAUUGGAGAUGUUGGCACAAACUUCGAUGGGCCUACUGCAUAUGAGAUGAGUGGACCAUUCUUGCAGAAAAGGAAGAAGAAGGUGUUAGAUUCAUUCAAACCACAUAAGCAAGCAUGGGAGCACACAGGUUGUACCGUAAUGACAGAUGCAUGGACAGAUAAAAAGGGCAGGGGAGUAAUGGACCUAGUUGUGCAUAGUUCUCAAGGAGUCAUAUUCUUGAAUUCAGUUGAUUGUUCAUCUGUCCAAAAAAAUGGCAAAUACAUCUUUGACCUCGUUGAUAAUUGCAUCGAAGAUAUAGGGGCAGACAAAGUCGUUCAAGUGGUGACCGACAAUGCUAGUGUCAAUGUAGCAGCAGCAAGUCUAAUGAAAGCAAAGCGACCUUCCAUUUUUUGGAAUGGAUGUGCAACCCAUUGUAUUGAUCUCAUGUUGGAGGACAUAGGGAAGCUUGGAUCGGUUGACAAAAUAAUUGCCCAAGCAAGACAAGUAACGGUGUUCUUG